CAGUCUAGACCCAUCGAGCGAGGAUGUCGCGCUGAGUGGCUUCUCAGGCUCAGGCCCUGAAAAGCCCAAGAACCGGCCCCAGGUGUCCGUAGCGAAUGCCAGACCGGGUGCCUUUUCCAUCUCAGCAAAUCCCAAGCGGCGGUGGGACCGGCAGCUACUCAGCGCUCCGCUGGCCAGGCCUAACGAGUCGAACGCGGAACUAGAGAGCAGGCGGAGGCCCGUGCGGGGCUGUUGCUCAGCAGGCCCGGCCUGGCUUUGGGCCCCGAGCCUCCCAGCCGGGGACUCUGCGCCUGCGCCCGUCCGGCCGCUGCCCGCUCCCCUGGCGCGGCCGCGGUCCCAGCUGCAGCGCGCCGCCUGGGUGGCUGGGCGGUCCAUGGGCAGCAGCGAGGGCCACGAUGACAGAUUACGGCGAGGAGCAGCGCAACGAGCUGGAGGCUCUGGAGUCCAUUUACCCCGACUCCUUCACAGUAUUAUCAGAAAAUCCACCCAGUUUCACCAUUACUGUGACAUCUGAGGCUGGAGAAAAUGAUGAAACUGUCCAGACUACCCUCAAGUUUACAUACAGUGAAAAAUACCCAGAUGAAGCUCCUCUUUAUGAAAUAUUCUCCCAGGAAAAUCUAGAAGAUAAUGAUGUCUCAGACAUUUUAAAACUAUUAGCAUUACAGGCAGAAGAAAACCUUGGUAUGGUGAUGAUCUUUACUUUAGUGACAGCUGUGCAAGAAAAACUAAAUGAAAUAGUAGAUCAAAUAAAAACUAGAAGAGAAGAAGAAAAGAAACAAAAAGAAAAAGAGGCAGAGGAAGCUGAAAAGCAAUUAUUUCAUGGCACUCCUGUUACAAUUGAGAAUUUCUUAAGUUGGAAGGCCAAGUUUGAUGCAGAGCUCUUGGAAAUUAAAAAGAAACGAAUGAAAGAAGAAGAACAAGCAGGAAAAAAUAAAUUAAGUGGGAAACAGCUCUUUGAAACAGAUCAUAAUCUUGACACAUCUGAUAUCCAGUUUUUGGAAGAUGCUGGAAACAAUGUGGAGGUAGAUGAAUCUCUGUUCCAAGAAAUGGAUGACUUGGAGCUAGAGGAUGAUGAGGAUGAUCCCGAUUAUAAUCCUGCUGACCCAGAGAGUGAUUUGACUGACUAGUGGACUAUCCCCAUCUGCAGAGAGGUGUGACUGCCACAGCAUCUGUGGCUGUGCUGACGUGUAUUGAAAUAGAUUCUACCUUUGUCAUUUUAGAAUCUAGGCAGAACCUGAUGUAUGGAAAUGAAGGCAAAGAGUUAGUUCUAAUGAUACUCCCAAGUAUUUUCAUCCGGAGUAAAUAAUAAUAUUUCUUUUGUUUUCUGG